AGGCGACCGCUAUUGGAGUUCGAUUAAGCCAUGCGAGUAGAAAGAAAUUAGAUUCUUUGCAUACUGCUCAGUAACACGUGGAUAACCUGCCCUACACUGGGGGAUAAUCUCGGGAAACUGAGCAUAAUACCCCAUAGACCACUACGCCUGGAACGGUGAGUGGUUCAAAGCUUCGGCGGUGUAGGAUGGGUCUGCGGCGUAUCAGGUCGUAGGGGGUGUAAUGGACCUCCUAGCCAUCGACGCGUACGGGUUGUGGGAGCAAUAGCCCGGAGACGGAUUCUGAGACACGAAUCCGGACCCUACGGGGUGCAGCAGGCGCGAAAACUUCACACUGCAGGAAACUGUGAUGAGGGAACUCCAAGUGACUGCACAAUGUGUAGCCUUUUCAUGAAUCUUAAUAGUUCUUGGAAUAAGGGCUGGGAAAGACCGGUGCCAGCCGCCGCGGUAAUACCGGCAGCUCAAGUGGUCGUCGCUUUUAUUGGGCCUAAAACGUCCGUAGCCUGUUUGGUAAAUCUGUGGGUAAAUCAACGAGCUUAACUCGUUGAAUUCUGCAGAGACUGCCAGACUAGGGACCGGGAGAGGUAUGAGGUACUCUGGGGGUAGGGGUAAAAUCCUGUCAUCCCCAGAGGACCACCUGUUGCGAAGGCGUCAUACUGGAACGGAUCCGACGGUCAGGGACGAAGCCUAGGGGCACGAACCGGAUUAGAUACCCGGGUAGUCCUAGGUGUAAACGCUGUGGAUUUGGUGUGUGGGGUCCGCAAUGGGCCCCAUGUGCCGGAGUGAAGAUGUUAAAUCCACUGCCUGGGGAGUACGGUCGCAAGGCUGAAACUUAAAGGAAUUGGCGGGGGAGCACUGCAACGGGAGGAGCGUGCGGUUU
rnacentral:rRNA from 1 species